AAGCAGCUUCAAUGACGGAUGCAACAUGGAAAUAACUGGCAUCAAUUAUUAUAACAACUUAUUGGUCGUCGUUACUAUUGUUAAAAGUAAAACGAAAUCAAAGAGAAUAGAACUAUGUUUGAAUUCUGGUUUAAAUAUGACGUCUGGACGCACGACAGGGGACUGCAGAGUUCAGCGAGUGCGGAGCAUAAAGAACCUUCGAGAAAUACAAGAACAUUUAGAAGAAUUGAAGUUUCAUUCUAAAAUAUCUGGAACUUUCUGAAACAAGUGACAUUAGAGAUGUCAGCGAGGCUGGCGUCCUGUCUUUAAAAUAAUGAAUUUAUAAUAAAAUCCGAUAUCAGAAGUGGGAUCGCUCCUGUGAUCAGUUACUGCCGGUCUUAGUGUAUUUGUAAAUCCUGAUCCAGCUCAAGAAAAUAAUCAUCCGGAGAACUUGCGUAAUGAAGAACGCUCCUCAGUCUUUCAUGCAAAUGAUGUCAACAAUGCAGAGCGUGACCGAACGUUUGCUACUAAAAAAAAAAACAAGGGAUACGAUUAAAAUUACUAACAAGAUUUUUUGAUCCCGGUGAUAGUGUGUGUGUUCGGGAUUGAUUCAAACGCAUCUUUACGGCUGUAAAUACGUACCAAAUCAGUAACUACGACAUUCGAAUUAAAGCCUUUUAAAGGAGCGAGCUAGAAAGUGUGCAGACGAUUGGUUAGUUGCAACAUCUACACAAGAGGCAUUACGUGAGACCAUAGCUAACAUUUGUUAUUAUCCUUUGAGCUAACCUCGUGUCCAUGAUGUAUUCUGAAGAGAACCAUGAGAUUCUGUAGGGAAGGCUUGUGGUACCGUGACAAGACAAUUAUACACCACAGAUCUGGAGAGCGUGACCUCUGAGCUAAUCGCGUGUUACCCUUGAGCUAACCACGGGUCCUUGAUGUAUCCAUAAGAGAACCAUGAGAUUCCGUAGGGAUGCCUUGUGGAGCCGUGAGAAGACAAGUCUACACCACAGAUGUGGAGAGCGUACCUCUGAACUAAUCGCGUGUUACUCUUGAGCCAACCACAGGUCCUUGCUGUAUCCUUAAGAAUACCAUGAGAUGACGUAGGGAGGCCUUGGGAAGACUUGAGUGGAAAGGUACUCACUCGAUCUAUAAGAACUUGCAUGAUUUUAAUAUCAAACUACUGAGAUUAUUGCUUUAUUUAAAAUUGACAAUAGACAUACUCUUCACAGUAAUAUUUGCAACAUGUCUGGUUAACGGCAGUGCCUCUACAAAAACGAUGCUGUAAUUCAAACGAAAGCAUACUCGACUCCAAAAUCCUGAUCAAAUACAUCUAUUGCGAAUAUAACUAAUUUCUGUUCCUUUUCUGCUAACCGUGGUCAUGCGUUUGAAUCGUGUUUCCGACGGGAAUAAGGAGAUCACGCCGAAUUUUAAUUUAAUACCAACUGUUCCAGGUUUUGAAACGACUACUGAUAUAUUAACCGGAGCAGAUUUAUUACGUGAUAAGAAUACAUGUGGAAAAUUUAGUAUCCUUGCCGAUGUUUUGCACAUACGAACAAGUCAAUUAUGCUUUGACAGUUUAGAUUACAAUUCAACAAUCAGUCCUUUUAAAUCGAAGUAAUGCACCAACACAUUCAAAACAGGAUGGUCGAGGCGGAGAGAAGAUACAAAGCUAGGUUUUUGAGAGGUCGAGCUACGAUUAAAAGAUUCCAGAAGGGAGAUAUAGUAAUAAUAAAAAUAUAACCCCAGAAAUCGGAUAUCCCUAUAUUUAAAAUUUUGUGAACGUGUGAGAAUGAUUAAUAUCUUGUAAAGUGAUUUUAGACAAUGGAUGACUUCGAAAUGUGGCACAUGACCAGCUACGAAUGUGACACUUGACCAGCUACGAUGAGACUUCACAGCAUCUGAGGGACGACACAGAAUUACUAAGCAAGCAGUUAGGUGGACGGUUCGCCUACCUAAUAGUUAUCCGGUGAGCGUAUUUCAUUUUGUUCAAAUUGCUUCAUUCAAACGCAUUACCAUUAAUCAUUGCUAGUAAUGUGAUUAUGUAACACUUACUUUGAGAUAUAUUACUAUAAAAGAUGCAUUUGGCGUGCGGAUCCGAACCAUAACAAAGAAAAAAAAAAAAAAAAAAAAAAAAAAAAAAAAAAAAAUUGUACACGGGUGGAGACGUCUUACGCCAAACAAAUAAAGAAAGAAAAAAAAAAAAAAAAAAAAAAAA